rnacentral:misc_RNA from 1 species
GCUACUCCUUAGCAAGCAGAAAAUAUCCUUGAGUGGUAACACUUGCUUAAAGCUCUGUGACACACUUUUUGAUUUAGAACAUUCUGCACCAUUAUCGAUCAAUAUAGGUUGAUUUAGAGUUUCACUGUCACUCCGGCCGGUCGUCUCCUUCACAAAUAUUCUCAUGUAAAUUGUUGCAAUCAUUGAAGAAAGGGCAGCUACCUUUGAUACACAAUGAAAACGAACACAACUAAGCAAACCGAAUAGUAACAAGUAAAAAUGAAAGUUAUUUAGAGAGAAAAAAGGAACCAGAAAGAUCUGUGCAGUGGAGAGGAAACGAGCAGCCAUGGUACCCAAGAGAGAUGCAGCAGAGCCUAUGCCGGCAACAAAUCCAAUUGCAGAAACACGUUUUUCUUCUGAUAUAUUAGCUGCCGCA